rnacentral:rRNA from 1 species
ACUCAAAGGAAUUGACGGGGGCCCGCACAAGCAGCGGAGCGUGUGGUUUAAUUCGAUGCAACGCGAAGAACCUUACCAGGGCUUGACAUUCCACGUUCAGCGGUCGAAAGGCCGUGGCCGCAAGGCGAGUGGGACAGGUGCUGCAUGGCUGUCGUCAGCUCGUGCCGUGAGGUGUUGGGUUAAGUCCCGCAACGAGCGCAACCCCCGGGACUAGUUGGUUUUCUAGUCCGACUGCCGGGACCAACCCGGAGGAAGGUGGGGAUGACGUCAAGUCAGCACGGCCCUUACGUCCUGGGCAACACACACGCUACAAUGGCCGGUACAGCGGGCGGAGCGAAGUCGUAAGGCGGAGCGAAUCCCUGCAAAGCCGGCCCCAGUACAGAUCGAGGGCUGCAACUCGCCCUCGUGAAGUCGGAGUUGCUAGUAACCGCGGGUCAGCACACCGCGGUGAAUACGUUCCCGGGCCUUGUACACACCGCCCGU